GAUGAAGAACGUAGCGAAAUGCGAUAAGUAAUGUGAAUUGCAGAAUUCAGUGAAUCAUCGAAUCUUUGAACGCACAUUGCGCCCGUCAGUAUUCUGGCGGGCAUGCCUGUUCGAGCGUCAUUUCACCACUCAAGCCUGGCUUGGUGUUGGGCGACGUCCCCUUUGGGGACGCGCCUCGAAACGCUCGGCGGCGUGGCACCGGCUUUAAGCGUAGCAGAAUCUUUCGCUUUGGAAGUCGGGGCCCCGUCUGCCGGAAGACCUACUCGCAAGGUUGACCUCGGAUCAGGCAGGGAUACCCGCUGAACUUAAGCAUAUCAAUAAGCGGAGGA
rnacentral:misc_RNA from 1 species